GAGGGCUUAGCUCAGUGGUAGAGUGUGUGCUUAGCAUGUACGAGGUCCUGGCUUCAAUUCCCAGGACUUCU
rnacentral:tRNA from 1 species